AAACAUUCGAGUACCAGAGGCUUCUUCAAUCAUUGAUAAAAUUUCAGUAGCCUUCAUAUUAAGAACCUUGGUGAUUCGACCUUGCAUAAUUAAAAAAUUAGGAUUAUUAAUAUUUAACUGAACAGACUGGAACAAAUUUUGAACAUUCUGUUGCAGAGCUCUAUGUCCAUUAAUCAAAUAUUUGCUUGUACCGCCCAUGAUAAUUUGUCUUGUAACGCUUACUUGCGGGUGAUUCUCGAAACCAAUUGGUGAAGACGCAGGAUCCCGAUUAUUAAACACAAUGGUAACGCUAGCUCUGGUUAUUCCUGCCUGUCCGCGUUUGUAAAUUAAGUCCUGUAAAUUCUGGGCACGGACAGUCGACAUAUUCGUAAUUCCCAAGACAAAGCAUAUUGCAUCUAAUAU